GGCGGUAUAGCUAAGUGGUAAGGCAAUAGAUUGCAAAUCUAUAUAUCCUCAGUUCGAUUCUGAGUGCCGCCU
rnacentral:tRNA from 1 species